UCCACCUCAUUCCCCACCUCAUCCCUUCUGCAACUCAUUUUUCUUCAUCUGAGCAACUCCUGUGUCCUCCUUCUGAAACUCUGCAACUCCGAUUCCUCUCCGCCGUCUUCUGUCGUCCCUACGGCCUCCACCCGUCGUUGGCUCUAAAUCUGGUUAGUUGCUCCUUUUUCGAUUUGCAUCAAACCCUAGCCAUCUCCAUCCUCUCUUCCAUAGCCGUCGAACUCACCACCUCCAUUUCUUCUCCAAACUACCGUCGAACUCACCACUCCUCUCCUCUGUUCAAAAUCGCAUCACCAUCCUCUUCCCAACUCCAUAACCACAUCACUUUCCUCAACCAAUUCCAGAACCGUUCCUUCGAACUCCACCGCACCACCACGUCCUCCUCAUUUUUAAUCCUGUUGCUAAUAGUUCCAUUGUCCUCUCUCUCGAACUUCCGGCGUGUAGGACCACCACUGCACGAUCGCUGGCGUAGAUCUGAGGCGGUUCUGGCGCUGCUCCGACGCGGUCCUGAUGUUGCUUCGAGGCUGCUCCGUCACGGCACGAAGAGGCUGAAGCAGCGAGGUGAAUGGGACGCCCUCUGAGGCAGUUUGGAGUCUUCAACUCUGGAAAAUUGGAAAAAAGGCUUGUGUUGCUGAAGUGCCAUUCUUCUGAACCUGGAUUUUCUCCUUUCUCAUAUAUUUGGUGCUCUCUUUUCUUUCCUCAUGUGUUCCAUUAACUUAUUUUGAAUAUACCUGCUUGAUUCUUUUGAUUAUUACAUAAUACCAGGAACUUCCAUUUUGUGAUUUAAUUGGUUUCUGGAUGUCUCUUUCAUAGUAGGCUUGUGUAUAUCCACUUACCAACAUAUAUCAUUGCACUUGAAACGGUGAAGGUAAUGUUUAGAGUUCUGGAUUUGUUAAGGUCUCUUGAAAUUUCCUUGAGUCAAGUUCAAUUCAAUCAAAAUGACGAUGAUAGUGAUGAAGAAAGCAUUCUGGUUUCCCUGGGAUGGUCAAGCUUCAAAAGAAAUGAGUGCCUUAGCCUACUAAAUUCACUUUCUGAGUCAAUUUCCCUUCCUGAGUAUUCUUGGAGAGGCGAUGUAGAAAAUUUUUGCUUGUCCAUUGCAUGCAUAAUUUUAUGCACUACAUCAAGCUCUGUUAAACUAUACACAGAACGGAUGAGAUCAGUGCAAUUUCUAGUAGUUGAUGAAGCAGCUCAAUUAAAGGAAUGUGAAUCGACCAUUCCAUUGCAGCUUCCAGGUCUCCACCAUUGCAUCCUAAUAGGUGAUGAGAAACAGCUUCCAGCAUUGGUUAAAAGCAGGACUGCAGAUAAUGCUGAAUUUGGAAGAAGUUUGUUUGAGAGGUUGGUGCUCUUAGGUUACAAGAAGCAUAUGCUUAAUGUUCAGUAUCGGGUGCAUCCAUCCAUUAGCUUAUUCCCAUGCAAAGAGUUUUAUGAUGAAAAACUUACUGAUGCCCCCACUGUCAAGGGAGAAAGCUAUAAUAGAAGUUUCCUUGAAGGUGAAAUGUUUGGUUCUUAUUCUUUUAUCCAUAUAGCAAAGGGGAAAGAACAGUUUGGUCGUGAGCACAGUUUGAAGAACCAGGUUGAAGCUGCAGUUAUUUCUGAGAUAAUUGGAAGCCAUAAAAAAUAGUUUAUGAGGACUAGGAAGAAAAUUAGCAUUGGAAUUAUAUCUCCCUAUAAUUCUCAAGUUUAUGAAAUCCAACAGAAAAUUAAGCACCACAUUUCAGUUUCUGAUCCUGACUUCUCUGUCAGUGUUCGUUCGGUUGAUGGAUUUAAAGGAGGGGAACAGGAUGUUAUAAUAAUUUCUACUGUGAGAUCUAAUCCUAGUGGAAAAGUGGGGUUUCUUUCCAAUAGACAAAGAGCAAAUGUUGCUAUGACUAGGGCUAGAUAUAGCCUUUGGAUAUUAGGAAAUGCGGCAACACUGGUUAGCAGUGACACAGUGUGGAAGCAGGUAGUUCUUGAUGCUAAGAAAAGAGAUUGUUUCCAUACAGCCGAUAAGGACAAUAAACUGGCUCGGGUUAUUGAGGAUGUUGUUUUUGAGCUUCAACUACUUGAAGAAUCUGAGUCGAUGUUUAAGAAACUGAAUCUAGGGGAGAGGUCUUCCAGGCCUCGGAAAGCAAGGAGGUGAUAAUGUGAGUCUCUCUCUGGUGAACUUAAAGUGAAGAGGUGUUAAGACCACUAUGGACAUGGAAUCCUGAGGAGCAUUUUUAGAUUUUCAAUCUUUGCGCAAUGAACUGAAAGUUGUGAUAGCAUUUUGCAAUGUAGUAAACUUAAUUCCCCUUUCAAGGUUUUUGUUUUAAAAAAAAUUGAACACUCUAUAUCUCUUUAUUAGAGAGAGAGAGUGUUUCUCCAAA